GAAAAAAUUGUUUUAAUGUAUUUAUAUAAUUGUUUAAACUUUCUCCCUAUCAGUAUAUAAAUUACAACAGUGGAAUUUUAGUUUCUCUACUGCAUAGUGUAAUUGCAUAAUAUAAAUUUAAAAUCAUUUUAGACUUUCCAGAUCAGACAAGGAACCAUCUGAAUACUCACAAAAAAAUAUAUUCAAUGUCACAUGGAACACAAUAAUCUCCCAGUUGAGCCAUGCAGAAGGGAGUGAUGGAGAGAAAAUCCUGACAUUUAAAUUUAUUUUUUUAUUUAUUUAUAUUCAACACCAGGAUACACUCUGACAUUAUCACAAAAAGGAUGCAACACAACCUGGUCCAAUUCAGUCUCCAACACUCUUUUAAACUCACUGCCCUUCAUUCCACAAAUCAGCUCUCAAUCCAUUUACACCUUACUGUUCUUAUUUUAUUUUUUAAUUAGUGCCCUGUGGACAUACACAUGCCUGGACACACCGUGAUAUAUGUAUUCAUACACAUAUGGACGUUCAAUCAAAUUCAUUCCAUUGUUCUUCACUUUUACUGUUCCUUCUUUCUUCUCCUCAAUACCUUUGUCUACUGAUCUUUUCUCUUUUUUGAUAAAGUUCCUAUUCCCUAUUUUUUUAUUUUUCUCUCAUUUUUUGAUUUUUUUACACCCCCUCCAACUUAUUUUGGUUUAAAUUCCACAUAUCAGAGAAAAUAUUCAACCUACGGCUGUCGAGAACUGAUUUAUUUCACUUAUCAUGAUAGUCUUCAGUUCCAUCUAUUUACCAGCAAAUGCCAUAAUGUUAUUCUUUAAAAAUGACAUUAAACUGAGUAAACUCCAUUGUGUUUAUCUGCCACCUUUUCUUUAUCUAUUCAUCUAUUUAAGGUUGGUUCCAUUGCUAUUGUAAAUUGUGCUGCUUUGAACAUUGAUGUGGUUGCAUCAUUGUAGUAUGCUGAGUUUAAAUCUUUU
rnacentral:lncRNA from 1 species